rnacentral:rRNA from 1 species
AGAACCUGCGGAGGGAUCAUUACACAAUAUGNAAGCGGGCUGGCAUNCUUCGGGGNNACAGCCUUGCUGAAUUAUUNACCCGUGUCUUUUGCGUACUUCUUGUUUCCUUGGUGGGUUCGCCCACCAUNGGACAAACCNUNAANCUUUUGNAAUUGCAAUCAGNGGCAGGAAANAAAUUAAUAAUUACAACUUUUAACAACGGAUCUCUUGGUUCUGGCAUCGAUGAAGAACGCAGCGAAAUGCGAUAAGUAGUGUGAAUUGCAGAAUUCAGUGAAUCAUCGAAUCUUUGAACGCACAUUGCGCCCUUUGGUAUUCCAAAGGGCAUGCCUGUUCGAGCGUCAUUUGNACCCUCAAGCUUUGCUUGGUGUUGGGCGUCUUGUCUCCAGUUCGCUGGAGACUCGCCUUAAAGUAAUUGGCAGCCGGCCUACUGGUUNCGGAGCGCAGCACAAGUCGCGCUCUCUUCCAGCCAAGGUCAGCAUCCACAAAGCCUUUUUUCAACUUUUGACCUCGGAUCAGGUA